GGAAUACCCGCUGAACUUAAGCAUAU
rnacentral:rRNA from 3 species